rfam:Hordeum vulgare subsp. vulgare, WGS project CAJW01000000 data, contig: morex_contig_48386
AUAGUACUCCUUCCGCCCUAAAAAUUUUGUCUUAAGUUUAUCUAGAAACUGAUGUAUCUAAAUACUAAAAUGCGACUUACAUCAAAAUACUAAAAUGCGACUAGAUACAUUCAUAUCUACACAAAUCUAAGACAAGAAUUUUGGGAGAAGGGAGUACUAA